UGGAAGAGAGAGAAAGGGAAAGAAUCAGAAAAAAUUAAAAGGAAAGAGAGAGAGCACGGGUAGAACCCGAGUCACCCCCUCCCAUUUUCUUUUUUCUUCUUCCGUCGCUGCUCUUCCCUUCUCCGGCGAAUUCGUCGCCGUCCGGCCACCCCAAGACGCAUCGUUGGGCACGGCGUGAUCCUCUCUUCCUUCUCCUUCUAGCUAUCUUGUCUUGAGCUGUGGAGGAAGAAUUCAAGGUGAUUGGGGACGUGAACAGUAGCGUGAACAGUUCCAUCCGAGUUCUUGAGUUUGGGUUUGGAAUUCCAGCUUUUUCUGCUUGUUUUUGGAGAUUUCUGCUGGUUUUCUUUGAAGUUUUGGGUUGCUGGGUUGUUGUUGAUGAUCAUAUCUAACUAUUGCAGCUUGUGUUGGCCGGUGGAGGAAGAUUUGAGGGUAUUUGGAGACGUGAACAGUAUUAUGAACAGUGCUGCGAGUUCUUGAUAUUUUUUUUGGGUAUAAAUUCGGCUAUUUCUGCUUGCUUUUGGUGGCUGCUGCAGGUAUAGAAAUGGUUGUGUGGGUUAUGAAGUUGAUUUUGGAAUAAAUAGGUUGAUUGGAAUUGAAUUUACUCUUUAAGUGUGUGUUAAACUUGAGGUUUGUUUGAUAUUGAGUUUUCUUUGGUUGUGA